GGCCUAACACAUGCAAGUCGAGCGGAAAACGACAACAUUGAUUCUUCGGAUGAUUUGUUGGGCGUCGAGCGGCGGACGGGUGAGUAAUGCCUAGGAAGUUGCCCGGUAGAGGGGGAUAACCAUUGGAAACGAUGGCUAAUACCGCAUAAUCUCUAUGGAGCAAAGCAGGGGACCUUCGGGCCUUGUGCUACCGGAUACGCCUAGGUGGGAUUAGCUAGUUGGUGAGGUAAUGGCUCACCAAGGCGACGAUCCCUAGCUGGUCUGAGAGGAUGAUCAGCCACACUGGAACUGAGACACGGUCCAGACUCCUACGGGAGGCAGCAGUGGGGAAUAUUGCACAAUGGGCGAAAGCCUGAUGCAGCCAUGCCGCGUGUAUGAAGAAGGCCUUCGGGUUGUAAAGUACUUUCAGUUGUGAGGAAGGGUGUGUAGUUAAUAACUGCACAUCUUGACGUUAGCAACAGAAGAAGCACCGGCUAACUCCGUGCCAGCAGCCGCGGUAAUACGGAGGGUGCGAGCGUUAAUCGGAAUUACUGGGCCGUAAAGCGCAUGCAGGUGGUUCAUUAAGUCAGAUGUGAAAGCCCG
rnacentral:rRNA from 1 species